GCGCAAUAGGCAGCGCGUUCGGCUGUUAACCGAAAGGUUGGUGGUUCGAGCCCACC
rnacentral:tRNA from 1 species